CAGGACCUAGUCAGAAGCAGCACUCGCAGCUAAAGCGCCUGCUCAAGGCCAAAAAGGAGGCACCUCCCAGGGAGAAACCAGAGGCGGUGAAGACACACCUGCGGGACAUGGUAAUUUUGCCUGAAAUGGUGGGCAGCAUGGUUGGUGUCUACAACAGCCAGACCUUCAACCAGGUGGAGAUCAAGGCUGAGAUGAAUGGACCUUACCUGGGCGAGUUCUCCAGCACCUACAAGCCCAUGAAGCACUGCCCAACUGGCAUUGGGGCCACCCGCUCGACCCCCUUCAUCCCCCUCAAGCAGCCUGCCUGGGCAAGAAAGGC
rnacentral:lncRNA from 1 species